GGUUAAGCGACUAAGCGUACACGGUGGAUGCCCUGGCAGUCAGAGGCGAUGAAGGACGUGCUAAUCUGCGAUAAGCGUCGGUAAGGUGAUAUGAACCGUUAUAACCGGCGAUGUCCGAAUGGGGAAACCCAGUGUGUUCCGACACACUAUCAUUAACUGAAUCCAUAGGUUAAUGAGGCGAACCGGGGGAACUGAAACAUCUAAGUACCCCGAGGAAAAGAAAUCAACCGAGAUUCCCCCAGUAGCGGCGAGCGAACGGGGAGGAGCCCAGAGCCUGAAUCAGUGUGUGUGUUAGUGGAAGCGUCUGGAAAGGCGCGCGAUACAGGGUGACAGCCCCGUACACAAAAAUGCACAUGCUGUGAGCUCGAUGAGUAGGGCGGGACACGUGGUAUCCUGUCUGAAUAUGGGGGGACCAUCCUCCAAGGCUAAAUACUCCUGACUGACCGAUAGUGAACCAGUACCGUGAGGGAAAGGCGAAAAGAACCCCGGCGAGGGGAGUGAAAAAGAACCUGAAACCGUGUACGUACAAGCAGUGGGAGCCCUGAUUUAUCAGGGUGACUGCGUACCUUUUGUAUAAUGGGUCAGCGACUUAUAUUCUGUAGCAAGGUUAACCGAAUAGGGGAGCCGGAGGGAAACCGAGUCUUAACUGGGCGUUAAGUUGCAGGGUAUAGACCCGAAACCCGGUGAUCUAGCCAUGGGCAGGUUGAAGGUUGGGUAACACUAACUGGAGGACCGAACCGACUAAUGUUGAAAAAUUAGCGGAUGACUUGUGGCUGGGGGUGAAAGGCCAAUCAAACCGGGAGAUAGCUGGUUCUCCCCGAAAGCUAUUUAGGUAGCGCCUCGUGAAUUCAUCUCCGGGGGUAGAGCACUGUUUCGGCAAGGGGGUCAUCCCGACUUACCAACCCGAUGCAAACUGCGAAUACCGGAGAAUGUUAUCACGGGAGACACACGGCGGGUGCUAACGUCCGUCGUGAAGAGGGAAACAACCCAGACCGCCAGCUAAGGUCCCAAAGUCAUGGUUAAGUGGGAAACGAUGUGGGAAGGCCCAGACAGCCAGGAUGUUGGCUUAGAAGCAGCCAUCAUUUAAAGAAAGCGUAAUAGCUCACUGGUCGAGUCGGCCUGCGCGGAAGAUGUAACGGGGCUAAACCAUGCACCGAAGCUGCGGCAGCGACACUGUGUGUUGUUGGGUAGGGGAGCGUUCUGUAAGCCUGUGAAGGUGUGCUGUGAGGCAUGCUGGAGGUAUCAGAAGUGCGAAUGCUGACAUAAGUAACGAUAAAGCGGGUGAAAAGCCCGCUCGCCGGAAGACCAAGGGUUCCUGUCCAACGUUAAUCGGGGCAGGGUGAGUCGACCCCUAAGGCGAGGCCGAAAGGCGUAGUCGAUGGGAAACAGGUUAAUAUUCCUGUACUUGGUGUUACUGCGAAGGGGGGACGGAGAAGGCUAUGUUGGCCGGGCGACGGUUGUCCCGGUUUAAGCGUGUAGGCUGGUUUUCCAGGCAAAUCCGGAAAAUCAAGGCUGAGGCGUGAUGACGAGGCACUACGGUGCUGAAGC
rnacentral:rRNA from 1 species